rnacentral:lncRNA from 1 species
GAGGAGAUGGCAGGAGAUAUAAACCCAAAAUGGUGCUAUGUAGUGGGUCUCUCCUUCAUUUUUUUUAAAAAAAACUUUCUAUUUGGCAAUAAUGUGUAAAUUAUAGGGAAGUUGCAAUAAUAAGAAUAUUAAAAUAGUAUAAAACUAUCAUAACUUUUCAUUUGUAAAUGCUUCAGGGAAUAUAUAUUAAAACUAGAGAUAGUCUUAAUAAAUAGAAUACAGUAAUAAUGUUUGGAAAAUUCAGCUUUGAUACAGAGAUUCAACCUACUGUUUUAUUCUAACUAUGCCAAGGGACCUGACGCUGUCUUACACACCUUUUCCACGGAUACAGAAUGCAUAUUCCUUUGCACUUCCUGGCGGUCCCCCACGUCACUGCUGCUUUUCCUCUGGCCUCGGACGUCCUGGGCUCUGACUGAGCACUGUGCACCCACCACUCAGUGAGCACACACAGCGCAGCUGCGAUGGUGUCUGCAGGCACAGGAGCUGUUUCCGAGAUUGUCCCGUGUGAAUAGGAUUUGUGGGUGCUUCGUGAGCUGCUCUGUUCCUAGCCAUGAACAUUUGCGAUCACCCCGCAGCGUGCCCCGUGUGGAAGGGGCACAGCUAGCAGAACUGCAGUCCGUGCGCCUCAUUUCUCCUUCGUUUCACCAGAUUCUGUCCCCUUUCCAAGAGGCCAUGCUGUCUCCGAGACCCCUCACCUUCCCCGCACCUCUAGCCCUUCCACGGCGACGAGGCCAAUGUGACAGCGGUGCAGCGGUGCCCUAGCGCGGGCAGAAGAGGCCUUAGGCCAGGCUCCUCCGGCCUCACAGAAGCUGGCAGAAGUCAACGAGAGCCUUCGUGAGCUCUAGCACGAUCCCGCUCCCCUCGAGAACCAUCGCCCAGCACACUUGAAGGCUGCAUCGUAUUCGCCUGGGAUCUGAAAGUGUUGUUCCUGACUAGCUCUCAUUCCAGGAAAUCUCUUUGACAUCUUUAUGUCUAGGCGGGAGUGAAGAUCGGCGGUGAAGGAAGCUAACCCAGAAGCGGGAGUCUGCGGAGCCGCCCUGCUGAGUCCGCCUCCCCGCUGCGGAGUGAAGCCAGGAAAGGGAGGCUGCUGGGCUGAGAGCUCCAAGACAGCACCCCAGGGAGGGCUGGGGGCAGCGGGGACACCAGCCUUGGGAGUGUGAGCGCUGCGCCUCCGACCCGCUGCGCGUGCGGCCGGAAGGACCCAGUCAGAGCUGCUCCAGGAGAGGACUAGAAGGCCAGGCUGAGCUGCUCGCUGUCAGAGCCUCGCGAGCACUUUGAAAUUCGGUUCGCACGCUGGCGAGACACAACGGGCCUGAGCUGACGACCCCAGCGUGGGCUACUGGGUCGUGCCUGCUUCUGUCACGUUUCUCUUGUGACACAAUUUGUCCUCUCCUGCCCUUCUGGGAAGCCGGCUCCCUCCUAUGCCUGGGUCCCCGAGCAAGAGCCACGCUCAUCCCGGCUGCUCACCGCGCCCCGGUGCUGCUGGCUGGGCUCUGCCCUGUCCCUCAGCUCCUCCUGGCUCACGAGUUCAGGAAUAGACCGAGUGAUGCAGUGAGGUCCUGUUUUUAACAAACAAAAACUCUAAAAGGGCUGAGAUGUAGCUCAGCUCUCCACAAUUCAAUCCCCAGGACCACAG